rnacentral:rRNA from 1 species
CAUAACACAUGCAAGUUGAGCGUGGCCUUAGUUUACUAAGGUCUAGCAGCGGACGGCUGAGUAAUGCACAGGAAACGUACCUCGAAGUGGGGGGAUAGCCCUUCGAAAGAAGGGGGUAAUACCGCAUGUGAUCGCAAGAUCAAAGCCGCAAGGCGCUUGUGAGAGCGGCCUGUGUCCUAUCAGGUUGUUGGUGUGGUAAUUGCCCACCAAGCCUAUGACGGGUAACUGGUCUGAGAGGAUGACCAGUCAGAUCGGGACUGAGAACACGGCCCGAACUCCUACGGGAGGCAGCAGUUGGGAAUCUUGCGCAAUGGGCGAAAGCCUGACGCAGCGACGCCGCGUGGAGGAUGAAGGUUUUCGGAUCGUAAACUCCUUUUACGAGAGAGUAAUUUGUGAACGUACCUCGUGAAUAAGCACCGGCUAACUCCGUGCCAGCAGCCGCGGUAAUACGGAGGGUUGCAAACGUUUGUCCGGAAUCACUGGGCGUAAAGCGCAUGUAGGUGGUUUGGUAAGUGGGCGAUUAAAGGACCAGGGCCUAACCCUGGGACUGUUACCCAUACUGCCUGACUUGAGGAGAGCAGGGGUAAGCGGAACCUUAGGUGUAGGAGUGAAAUCCGUAGAUAUCUAAAGGAACACCAAUGGCGAAGGCAGCUUACUGGGCUCUUUCUGACACUGAGAUGCGAAAGCGUGGGGAGCGAACGGGAUUAGAUACCCCGGUAGUCCACGCUGGUAAAACGAUGCCGACUAGCCCUUGGAGGGUAUCGACCCCCUCUUGGGGCGAAGCUAACGCGUUAAGUCGGCCCGCCUGGGGACUACGAGCGCAAAGCUUAAAACUCAAAGGAAUUGACGGGGACCUGCACAAGCGGUGGAGCGUGUGGUUUAAUUCGUCAGCAAGCGAAGAACCUUACCAAGAUUUGACAUCUCUGGAAAGCCCUGGAAACAGGGCCGUGCCGCAAGGAGCCAGAAGACAGGUGCUGCACGGUCGUCGUCAGCUCGUGCUGUGAAGUGUCCCGUUCAGUCGGUUUAACGAGCGCAACCCCUACCCUGUGUUGUACUUUUCACAGGGGAACUGCCCUAGUUUAAUAGGGAGGAAGGUGGGGAUUACGUCAGAUCAGCGUGGCUCUUACAUCUUGGGCGACACACGCCGCUACAAUGGAUAGUAACAAUGGGUUGCCAAGCCGUGAGGCGGAGCUAAUCCCACCAAAACCUAUCCCCAGUUCGGAUUGAAGGCUGCAAACUCGCCUCCAUGAAGUCGGAAUCGCUAAGUAACGGCCAGUCAGCCAUAUGGCCGUGAAUACGUUCUCAGGUCUUGUACACACCGCUCGUCAAGCCACGAAAGUUGGGAACGCCCGAAGCAGCUGUAAGCUACUACGGCGGGUUCAAUGAUCAGGGCU